rnacentral:lncRNA from 1 species
GUUUUACUUAACUUAAUGAAAGAAAUUUUAAUCUUUCAGUUUCGACCACAUUUGGUCACCGAAAACUCUCCCGAACUGUAAUCUCUAGCAGAUAGCAGUCGGAUUUUAUUUUCCACUUUUCAGGUCUCAGAAUGACAUGAAACUUUAAAUCUAGCCUCAUAAAAAUAAUUCUGAUAUAUUCUCUGGUUUUCAUAAUUUUCUGACACUGUGCAUUUUCUGCUAAAAUAUCAGUCCCGUUUCGCACAGAAAAUUCUAAAUCUUCUGUUUUCGUUCCGAUUUCAGUACGAGUCAUUUCAGACUUAUAUUUCAUUUCUCUAAAUCCAAUAAAAAUAGUAUCUCACACUAUUUUUAUUUAUUUUUUUACUUUUAUAUUAAAAUCCAGUAUGUUACACACUAGCCGACAAUCCUACCCCUCAGGAUAUACCGACCUCAUA